rnacentral:rRNA from 1 species
CUAUAGCCACCUCCUCGCGCGCCACAAGCGUGCGCACGUGGUUGUUAAAGCUAGAGUUUGAUCCUGGCUCAGAUUGAACGCUGGCGGCAGGCUUAACACAUGCAAGUCGAGCGGAAACGAUGAUAGCUUGCUAUCAGGCGUCGAGCGGCGGACGGGUGAGUAAUACUUAGGAAUCCACCUAGUAGUGGGGGAUAGCUCGGGGAAACUCGAAUUAAUACCGCAUACGUCCUACGGGAGAAAGCAGGGGAUCAUUAGACCUUGCGCUAUUAGAUGAGCCUAAGUCGGAUUAGCUAGAUGGUGGGGUAAAGGCCUACCAUGGCGACGAUCUGUAGCUGGUCUGAGAGGAUGAUCAGCCACACCGGGACUGAGACACGGCCCGGACUCCUACGGGAGGCAGCAGUGGGGAAUAUUGGACAAUGG